rnacentral:rRNA from 1 species
CCUACGGGUGGCAGCAGUAGGGAAUCUUUCACAAUGGGCGAAAGCCUGAUGGAGCAACGCCGCGUGCAGGAUGAAGGCCUUCGGGUUGUAAACUGCUUUUAUAAGCGAGAAAUAUGAUGGUAACUUAUGAAUAAGGAUCGGCUAACUACGUGCCAGCAGCCGCGGUCAUACGUAGGAUCCGAGCAUUAUCCGGAGUGACUGGGGGUAAAGAGGUGCGUAGGUGGCAUAGUAAGUAGCUAGUUAAAUCUGGUGGCUCAACCAUUCAGACUAUUAGCUAAACUGCUAAGCUCGAGACCGUUAGGGGUAACUGGAAUUUCUAGUGUAGGAGUGAAAUCCGUAGAUAUUAGAAGGAACACCGAUAGCGUAGGCAGGUUACUGGGACGGUUCUGACACUGAGGCACGAAAGCGUAGGGAGCGAACGGGAUUAGAUACCCGAGUAGUC